GUUGGUGGAUCUGCAGGAAGCAGGUCACAGGAUGCGUUAAAAACGUCCAUCUCUGCCCGAUGAAGGACCUGCUGCCAGUCAAAAGGUGGAAGUUUCCCUUAUAUCUGCAAGUCAAGGCCUGCACCUUGGGAGCCCCAGCAGCAAGAAGCAGCCAUCAGAAGACAGGGAGUGUUGAGUGCUUGGCAUCCUGCCAGAGGACCCCUUGAUCUGCAGGACGGAUGGUAGAAGAGACCUCGUGCAGAGGAGAAGGACAGAAGGGUGAAGUGGCCUCUUCCUGCCCUUCGGAUGUUACAUUCUUGUUGUCAAAGAUUGGAGUCACAGUGAGAGGAAAGAGAAGGGGUUAGAGCUUUCAGUCAUCCACCACUGCCAACUUCCAUCUCUUGCCAACCUCUGCA